rnacentral:rRNA from 1 species
UACGUAGGGUGCGAGCGUUAAUCGGAAUUACUGGGCGUAAAGUGUGCGCAGGCGGCAGAGCAAGUCGAGUGUGAAAGCCCCGGGCUUAACUUGGGAAUUGCGCUCGAAACUACUUUGCUGGAGUGUGGCAGAGGAAGGUGGAAUUCCACGUGUAGCGGUGAAAUGCGUAGAGAUGUGGAGGAACACCAAUGGCGAAGGCAGCCUUCUGGGCCAACACUGUCGCUCAUGCACGAAAGCGUGGGGAGCAAACAGG